rnacentral:rRNA from 1 species
UACGUAGGGGGCGAGCGUUGUCCGGAGUUACUGGGCGUAAAGCGCACGCAGGCGGUCUGCUAAGUUUGGCGUGACAGUUGGUGGCUUAACUGCCAAAGUGCUUCGAAAACUGACAGACUUGAGGGCUUCAGAGGGACACGGAAUUCCGGUGGAGCGGUGAAAUGCGUAGAGAUCGGAAAGAACACCAACGGCGAAAGCACUCUGCUGGGCCGACACUGACACUGAGAGACGAAAGCUAGGGGAGCGAAUGGG